rnacentral:lncRNA from 1 species
CGCCGUACCAGAUUCACAAGUGUAUUUUUUUUUUAUUCCAAACAAUAAUAGUGGCAUAAUUCAGUUAAUUGAGUUUGCGCACACGUCAAAUGAUCAAUGCAGCUAAACUUUUUAAAUUUUCGUUUAGAAGUAGAUAGCUGAGUGUCUGGAUGGGGUUUACAGAAUAGAAAAUAUUGGGCAAAAAGUGCGUAAAAACGGCAAAAAAAAAGACUAAAGAAAAAUAUGCAAAAAAUACAGAAAAGAGAAUAAUGGGAUGCUUAAACAUAAAGAAAAGAGAAUAGUGGGC